rnacentral:rRNA from 1 species
UUGUUGUGGUUAAAAAGCUCGUAGUUGGAUCUCGGCGGACUGAGGGCGGUUUGCUUGCUAGUAUUACUGCCCUAUAGUCCGUAGUUUUGCCAGAGGUUUCGGGGUGCUCUUAAUCGAGUGUCCCGGGAUGCUGGCAGGUUUACUUUGAAAAAAUUAGAGUGCUCAAAGCAGGCUAUUACGCCUGAAUAUUCGUGCAUGGAAUAAUAGAAUAGGAAGUCGUUUCUAUUUUUGUUGGUUUUCGGAAAUCGACUUAAUGAUUAAUAGGGACAGUCGGGGGCAUUUGUAUUCAAACGACAGAGGUGAAAUUCUUGGACCGUUUGAAGACAAACUACUGCGAAAGCAUCUGCCAAGAAUGUUUUCAUUAAUCAAGAACGAAAGUUAGAGGUUCGAAGGCGAUCAGAUACCGCCCUAGUUUUAACCAUAAACGAUGCCAGCUAGCGAUCUGCGGACGUUUUUUUUGUAGACUU